UACGUAGGGUGCAAGCGUUGUCCGGAAUUAUUGGGCGUAAAGAGCUCGUAGGCGGUCUGUCACGUCGGGCGUGAAAAUCCAGGGCUUAACCCUGGACCUGCGUUCGAUACGGGCAGACUAGAGUUCGGUAGGGGAGACUGGAAUUCCUGGUGUAGCAGUGAAAUGCGUAGAGAUCAUGAGGAAGACCAGUGGCGAAGGCGGGUCUCUGGACAGUUCCUGACACUGAGACACGAAGGCCAGGGGAGCAAACGGG
rnacentral:rRNA from 1 species